UCGGAGAUCGCUCCCUAUCCCAGGGUGCACCGCGCCGCCGCGACGGAGGGCGGGACCGGCAGAAGGGAGCCCAGCGCCGGGAAGCUGCGCGCGCCUCUACGACCGCCCCCCUCUUCCGGCGGGCGUGCAGCUGCGCCUGCUCUGUGCGCCGCGAGAAGGACACGCAUGCGCAGGCGCACCAGGGCGGCAGCCUUUCUCAAGGAGGGGAGACAAAACAACUUGAAGGAGAAAGGACUUACUUUGGCUUACAGUGCUGAGGAACUGUGUAGACACAAUCCAUUCUGGUUUGGAGAACUUGGUGACAGAAGCAGAGAUUAAGAAGUGGGACCAUGAGCUGGUGAGAUGCCUCAGCGGGUUGUAGACACUCCUCCGUCAGUGCUUCCAGGAGACGAACCGGACAGCUAGGGAGGGAACACAUACACAUAAAAUAAAUCUUUUUCAAAUGCUG